UUCUAACAUUCAGUGUUAGGAAUAACGCAAGAAAAUAAACUGAACAUUUUCAAAAUUACUUUGAAAAUGAUAAACGUAAAUUACAAUGAGAGAUAAACAUAAAGAUUACAGAUUAUUUAACAGGACAGACAAUAGAUUGUUCAGAGAAGGUUACUAAGGCUACAACUAACUGUAAGAAAUUACACUGAAAUUUCCCAAUACAACACAAUUAAAUGGUCACAUAACUUUUUUAGUAAACACAUGACAACAUCAACACAAAUACAAUUAAUAAUAACUACCCAAUAAUAUGAAUUCCAAUAAAGUUCUUCAUUCAACAAUGUAUUUUGAAACAUUACAAGAUUUAGGUUAGACCUUAUCUGGCAACUGCUCCUACACGUUAUCUAAACACGACCUUUACUUCACUAUCAUGCCGCAAAAUAAUUUUCUUGGGUAAUAGCAAUAUGAGUCUAUAACCAAUUGUAUUGUUUCACUUUUUAUGACUGUGUCUCAAAGUAAAGUGCUCAUGGUUACAUGUAAGAUUUAACUGAUAUAAUUAUUGCUCAAUUCUCAAACACAUAUUUUCCAUAAAACCAAAUACAUGAAUGGCCUUCCAAUAUAGAACUAUGUACUCGUAUUGUAUCUUCAAUAGAACACUGUUGAAUGUUGGCAUAACACCCAUCCUCAAUUCAACCCUGGUGCAAGUUUUUAUCAGCAUCCAAAAACGGAUUGUGUGGAAAGAGCAUUGAGGAAACUUGGGGUUAAGUCAAACUAGAGGUCAGUGAUAUGAAAUAACCACCUGAAAUUGGAAAGUCAACGGGUUCUCCUCCAGAAAUAGUUUUGAAUGUUGUGGACAUUAUGAGGCAUAACAACGGUUGUGUCUCUGCUUCUGAUGUUCUAUUUUAUGGGGUUGCUACGGAAAUGCAAGAAAGAAACUGUAAUGUCCAUAAGUGCUGGACAACUGAGCUGACACAGAUAUAGUGGUAAUCAGCAGCGCUGACCACCUAGGCCAGAGGAUGAAAAUCUUGUUACUCUCUCACUCAUUCAAACAAGAACUGAUGCGAAGCUAAGUAUUCAGCAUUUAGAUUGUUAGAUCUUAUCUAGACAGACAGAUAUGUUUAAGAUAAACAGUGACUUGUUUUAUAGACUCAUAAGCAAUGUGAGAUGAUAUUCACUUAUCGAGAUAAUUCGGGCGCAAAAUACUUCUCGUUGGUUCUUAUCGAUUUUAAAGAUUACUCGUUAGAACUCAGCGAUGAGGCGACACACGGAAGUCAAAGCUUCGAGUUAAAUGUGAGUAGACAUCAACUGGACUAGCACAAAACGUUACAGGACAGCUAAAUUAUUGAAAGCUUAGACACAGAUGUUGGUCCACAACACAAACAUAUAAUAAAUGGAAAUGAGACGUACGCACUGAUUACAGUAGAAGAGGGUGGAGUCAAGUGUGAUUCUCCAGGGGUUCCAGUGGGCUAGUGGAGGUAGAGCGAGACAGCAUGGACACUCACCCAUCACUUAGUGUGUGAACAACUGACACUUGCACAUAGUCACUAUAACACACAACGUCCUCAGAUGCCACCCAAUACGGUACUAAACACACAACCACAGCAGACCUUACUGUUCUCUACUAUCUUUCUUUCAUCUAAGAUAUUUUUACUGUUUAAUUUACAAGAGUCGGUUUGAAGUCAGUUACUGUUUAUCAAAUGGAUUUCAAGAGACUUUGAACUCGAAAUCUAAAUUUACAGUUUUGUAAAUAUUUUGCUACGUGAAGUACGGUUUUACUUUCCUCUGAUACGGUUUGUAUAUGUGAUCUACACUGGUUUGUGUUUUUGACUCACGUUACUAAACAUUGUGAACUCAUUGUUAUGAUGACAUGUGAUUUUAACCCUAAGUAGCUCAAGUGGAUAUUUACUCAAUAAAUAAACAGUCAACUCCCAGAAUCUCAAACGGCAUGUUGAAAAUUUUCUCCUCACUGUAUAUUUGUUGUUAAUUAAACAUAUGCAAUACACUAGUUAAUUAUUUAUAAAGAUAUUCUAUGAAAUACAUAUUAUUAAUAAUUUAUAUGAAAGUGAUUGCCUUGUUCAUUAACUUAAGUUAAUAUACGUAUAUUUAUUAUAAUUUUACUUUUGUAACACCCAAAUCAUAAAACCAUUAAAACACUUAAGGAAUACUUAAGAGAAUAAAAUAAAAUGUUGAAGUUAUUUAAACCAAUACAAGCUGGUGUUAGAAAUAACAAUAGCAGUGAAACAUAAUAAUGAUCAAUAAUAUGCAGUAUUAAAAAGAUCUAAUAAAAAUAGAUAUAUAAAAAUUCAUCACCUAAUACUGUUUUAUUGAAUUAACAAACUUGGUACAUUACUGAAAGUAAAACAAACUUACGCAACUUAACGACAUAUAAACGGAUUAAAAUAUCAAGAAAAGUUUCUGUUCCAAAACAUUUAAGUCCUGUAAAUAAAGUAAUAGCUUUAGUUGAAAGGAAUAAACAUAAAUUAUGAAACAACAGAUAACAAUAAUAAAUUUAUACACAAAGCUAAAACACACUGAGCUAAGCUCUGCAAUAUUUAAAAUAAUUUAGCUGUGCAGUCAACUCUGCUUACUAAUCUAUUAACAACUGUGAUGGUAGCUACAAGAUCCCUCAAGAGUAAAGGAAUUGAAAAAUUCAAAUUGAAUCACUUUGGAAUGCUAUUCUUGUGUGGGGGCUAAUUUAAAUAUGCAAAAUACAUGAUAAUUUUUUGGCAAAUGGUACUCAAUGUACAAGUUAAGUACUCCUCUGCAUCGUUACAAUAAUAUACAUGUUAUAUACUCAAAUGUUGUCUAUAAUUGCAACAAACUGAAAUGUUGUAUAUAAUUGCAACAAACUAAAGAAGUUAUUACUUUAAGUAAUGGAAUAUAUAAAUAGCUUGACCAAUUAGUGAUUAUAUUUCCUAUUUACCUUUUAUUUGAAUUUCCUGAGUAACCAUGCCGCUGCAGACAGAACAACUAUAUAAUUAUAUGUAUAAUUAAUUCUUCUCUUAUAUUUUAUUGCAUAUAGAAUAAGCCAAUUUUUUUAAUAUGAUGUUUUAGUUUUAUUGCACUUUUAAAAACAACGUAAUAUUUUUCACAUUCAAGAUAAAAAUUACCUGAAAUAGUUGCCACUUUCUUGCAACAAAAACCCUUAUAAUGUAGUAACACCAGUUAGUUAUCUUUGUAACACAAUAUUUGAUGUCUGUUUCACUUCUCUAAUUUGAAAAGAACUAUGUUUUCAUAGAAACUAAUUUGAGAUAAAAAAAACUAAUUUAAUAAAAUUGAUACAAUAAUGAGGAAAGUUUGAUAAAUUACUGAUAUUUAUUUCAUGUUCAUAUUAACUAAUGUACAACUAAAAGUAUUUUAAAAAUUAAUGCACUAUAAUAACUACCUUCAACUAGUAAAACACUUUUUGGUUUUAAACAUAAAUUUACAGUAAGUUUCAUGUUAUGCUAGAAAUCUUAAAUUCUACACUAUAAUUAAUUUUCCAGUAACUGAAAACCUCAGCAGGUUUGCAGUCUUCACUGGUAUUACACCAUUCUUCUCUUUUUUACGGGAUUUUGUUAAGAGUUAAAACAUUAAUUUAUUGUCAUAGCCUUGUAUUCUAAAUACAUUGCGGAUAUGAGUGUACUCUGUUGUUUUGCUUUUGUUGUUUUUAUUUUGUGUACAUCCAAUUUUUGAGGACUUCACACAAUUUGUAUGUUGUGUUUCCUAACUCUUGUAUCUCACAGUGCUUUGGUAUAAUUUAUAGUUUUUAAGUUGUUUUCAAUGUUAUACAUUAGGUUAUUCAUCUAAAUAAUAUAGGUAUUGGAUUGCAGUUCUCAAAGUAUUGUUAAUUUUUUAAGUAAAUUUUAAUAUGUACUAACAAUUAUUUGGAAUUUGAUGAUUAUACUUUAACAUUACACGAUUACACAUUAACGUAAUAAAAACUAUAACUGGGCUCAAAAUUAUUAUUUUUAACUUUUAAUCACCCAAGAAAAUUGAGGUCUAAAACAAUUCUUUUUGUAAUCGAAAUUUGUCGUCUUUGGGUAAACAAUAAAUUCUGAAACGCGAAGGGAAAUAAUUGUUAUGGUUUUACUAAGAAAUUUAAUACAGGUAACUGGAUUAUUUUGACAUUUGAAAUGAUUAAUUAAAUUAUGAACAUAAAAGCUAUGCCAACUAGGAAUCAUUAAUUCAAAUUAAUAAUAAUUUGAAUUCUUGUGUCGAAAAUAUUAUUUCACGAAUCUAAAAAUCUUCAUCAUUAUUACUUUUCAGACUGUUAUAUUUGUUAGGAUCACCUAUUCUUAAGAUCCAACUGCUUUUAAUAACCAAAAGUGCAUUAUACUGUCAUCUGGUGGAGAAACAGUGAACUGUAAGACUUGUUCUUGAUUAGUGCUACAGUCUGGUGAGCUGACUGAGAAUUACUCCACUGAAGGACCAAUUCAAAUUAAAUAAGAGUUUAAGUACAUUAAUAAUAUGUCCCAGUCACAUCAUAAAAAAUAAAUUGUCUUGAAGAACCUAGUAAAACAAGUAAAAUUGUCUUCAGGAAUUGGUUAAGAUCUCUCCAUUUUCACUAUAGAACACACGUGUUGUUUUCAACUCCAAACCUUUCCUUGCUUCUUCCUCAAAUCUUUUAUUUACAGAGGUAAUUUUUUAAAUCUGGCCAGUAAUCCAAUAAAUAUCAACAAUUACUAAAUUAUUAACUAAUUAGUACAACAAUUUCUAUUGUUUUCUUGAUAUGUGCCAUUUCAAUAUUAUAUUUGUGAAGGAAACAGGAUAUUUCCGGACAUUUGCCUUCGUUCAAUGA
rnacentral:lncRNA from 1 species